rnacentral:rRNA from 1 species
UGGGGAAUUUUGGACAAUGGGCGCAAGCCUGAUCCAGCCAUGCCGCGUGCGGGAAGAAGGCCUUCGGGUUGUAAACCGCUUUUGUCAGGGAAGAAAUCCUCUGAGUUAAUACCUCGGGAGGAUGACGGUACCUGAAGAAUAAGCACCGGCUAACUACGUGCCAGCAGCCGCGGUAAUACGUAGGGUGCAAGCGUUAAUCGGAAUUACUGGGCGUAAAGCGUGCGCAGGCGGUUUUGUAAGACAGAGGUGAAAUCCCCGGGCUCAACCUGGGAACUGCCUUUGUGACUGCAAGGCUUGAGUGCGGCAGAGGGGGAUGGAAUUCCGCGUGUAGCAGUGAAAUGCGUAGAUAUGCGGAGGAACACCGAUGGCGAAGGCAAUCCCCUGGGCCUGCACUGACGCUCAUGCACGAAAGCGUGGGGAGCAAACAGGAUUAGAUACCCCUAGUAGUCCACGCCCUAAACGAUGUCAACUGGUUGUUGGGAAGGUUCCUUCUCAGUAACGUAGCUAACGCGUGAAGUUGACCGCCUGGGGAGUACGGCCGCAAGGUUGAAACUCAAA